rnacentral:rRNA from 1 species
ACGGAGGGUGCAAGCGUUAUUCGGAAUUACUGGGCGUAAAGGGUGCGUAGGCGGUUUGGCAAGUCAGAUGUGAAAUCCCCGGGCUUAACUCGGGUGGGGCAUUUGAAACUGCUGAACUUGAGUGCAGGAGAGGAAAGCGGAAUUCCUAGUGUAGCGGUGAAAUGCGUAUAUCCUAGGAGGACCACCAGUGGCGAAGGCGGCUUUCUGGACUGUAACUGACGCUGAGGCACGAAAGCGUGGGGAGCAAACCG